UCCGAAUUGGUGUAGUGGUUAACAUUUCACGCUCUCACCAUGUGAUCCUUCAUCCGAAGAACACAGUUGGAGCACCGUGGAGCCCGGGGUUCGAUUCCCCGAUUCGGAG